rnacentral:rRNA from 1 species
UGCAGUCGACGGGAAGCGGUGGAUUUUCAUUUCGGUGAAUCUACGCCGUGGAGAGUGGCGAACGGGUGCGUAACACGUAGGUAACCUGCCCUGAAAUGGGGGAUAACCACGGGAAACUGUGGCUAAUACCGCAUAAUCUCGCCGGGACGGUGGUUCUGGUGAGGAAAGCUUAGGCGAUUUGGGAGGGGCCUGCGGUCGAUUAGCUGGUUGGUGGGGUAAAGGCCUACCAAGGCGAUGAUCGAUAGCUGUUCUGAGAGGAAGACCAGCCACACGGGAACUGAGACACGGUUCCGACUCCUACGGGGGGCAGCAGUGAGGAAUAUUGCGCAAUGGGGGCAACCCUGACGCAGCAACGCCGCGUGGAGGACGAAGGUUUUCGGAUUGUAAACUCCUUAUCUGGGGGAAGAGGAAGGACGGUACCCCAGGACGAAGACACGGCUAACUAGGUGCCAGCAGCCGCGGUAAUACCUAGGUGUCGAGCGUUAUCCGGAAUUACUGGGCGUAAAGGGUGCGCAGGCGGCGAUACAAGUCUGGCGUGAAAGCUUCUGGCUUAACUGGGAGAGGACGUUAGAAACUGUAUGGCUAGAGUGAAUGAGAGGGGGGCGGAAAUCCCGGUGUAGUGGUGGAAUGCGUAGAUACCGGGAAGAACACCAGAGGCGAAGGCGGCCUCCUGGCAUUUUACUGACGCUGA